GAGGGUAUAGCUCAGUGGUAGAGCAUGUGCUUAGCAUGCACGAGGUCCUGGGUUCAAUCCCCCGUACCUCCA
rnacentral:tRNA from 1 species